AGUGAACGCUGGCGGUAGGCCUAACACAUGCAAGUCGAACGGCAGCACAGUAAGAGCUUGCUCUUACGGGUGGCGAGUGGCGGACGGGUGAGGAAUACAUCGGAAUCUACUUUUUCGUGGGGGAUAACGUAGGGAAACUUACGCUAAUACCGCAUACGACCUACGGGUGAAAGCAGUGGAUCUUCGGACCUUGCGCGAUUGAAUGAGCCGAUGUCGGAUUAGCUAGUUGGCGGGGUAAAGGCCCACCAAGGCGACGAUCCGUAGCUGGUCUGAGAGGAGGAUCAGCGACACUGGAACUGAGACACGGUCCAGACUCCUACGGGAGGCAGCAGUGGGGAAUAUUGGACAAUGGGCGCAAGCCUGAUCCAGCCAUACCGCGUGGGUGAAGAAGGCCUUCGGGUUGUAAAGACCUUUUGUUGGGAAAGAAAAGCAGCAGGUUAAUACCCCGCUGUUCUGACGGUACCCAAAGAAUAAGCACCGGCUAACUUCGUG
rnacentral:rRNA from 1 species